GGAGACUGCCGGUGAUAAACCGGAGGAAGGUGGGGACGACGUCAAGUCAUCAUGGCCCUUACGAGUAGGGCUACACACGUGCUACAAUGGCGCAUACAGAGGGCGGCCAACUUGCGAAAGUGAGCGAAUCCCAAAAAGUGCGUCGUAGUCCGGAUUGGAGUCUGCAACUCGACUCCAUGAAGUCGGAAUCGCUAGUAAUCGUGGAUCAGAAUGCCACGGUGAAUACGUUCCC
rnacentral:rRNA from 1 species